CACCCACCUCCUUCUUCCUUCCCUUUCCGCUCUUCCUUUCUUUCUUUUCCCUAUGCUCUAGAACCACCUCCAACCUCUCCCCCCCUCCCCCCUCCCCACCACCCUCCGCCACCAAUCUCCACGUAUGGUUCUUUUCGUCGACCUUCCAACCCGUCUAUUCUUCGCGCCACCUAUCACGCCCACGUGCUUUCUUUCUCUUGGAGCACGGUUGGCCCGCUCGCGGGGGCCCAAUCGGUACUCGCGCAGCCAGCGCGUGAAGAAACUUUUUCAUCCGGAGGAAUUAUUAUGCCGUUGCUCUAGUUAUGCAUCGAAUACGCUUUCAGCCGUGAUCGAUAGUGAAAUGCUUGAAUGACUCGCUGGUAAACACCUUCGGCUUCAGGUUUCCUCCGUGUUUACUUUCAUUACUGGUUUAGCUCGCGACAGCAAACGUCUUUGACGACACUUUGUCGUUUCGCUUAAAACCCCGCGUAAACGUCUUUGCUACGACGCUAGUUGCACCACGACAAGUUUCGCGACUGUGAACGAUCUCGAUCCUAAUCUAGGUUCCUCCUCGCUAGUAGGACAAUUUCAGUUAACAAGUUGACCGCCCCGUAUAUGGCCGACGAGGCUUUUCGUCGAGGAACCGAAUGAAUUAUUACCGAAGGGAGCACGCGGCUGUUUAUCAUUACGCGCGAAAGAGAAGAGCGUCAGAAAAGGAGUGAAGACCAGGGGAGGAGGCGGAGAGGAUGGAAUAGAAAGAGUCAAAGAAGGAGACCGAGAAAAAGAGGGGACGGCUGCAAGGUCCUCUUCAACCUCGUAUACCGCGACGCUCGAGUCAAAAUACGCAAGAGAUGGUGGACAGGACUAGAGUCUGGGUUCUGAAUUAGACAUCAGGCACCUACCACUGGACCCUAUGUAGGAUGUGACGCGUGGAAGAGGAAG